rnacentral:rRNA from 1 species
UACAGAGGGAGCUAGCGUUGUUCGGAAUUACUGGGCGUAAAGCGCACGUAGGCGGCUAUUCAAGUCGGAGGUGAAAGCCCGGGGCUCAACUCCGGAAUUGCCUUUAAAACUGCAUCGCUAGAAUUGUGGAGAGGUAAGUGGAAUUCCGAGUGUAGAGGUGAAAUUCGUAGAUAUUCGGAAGAACACCAGUGGCGAAGGCGACUUACUGGACACAUAUUGACGCUGAGGUGCGAAAGCGUGGGGAGCAAACAGGG